AGAGCUCCUCGGCAGAACUCGUCUAUGGUGAGCCUUUGAGGAUCCCUGGUCCUUGAUACUCCCAGGGGGGUGAUGUGGUGUGCUGAACUCAUCACCAGUUUACACAACACUUGACCCACGGCCCCACACUGCAUGAGACCUCACGCGAUCCGGCCCUGUGCGGAGUACGUCCCUGCCUUCGUUCCUGCGGCGCGCGGGAGUUGCAUUCGACCACCGGCGUCCGUGCCAGUCGCCCGAUACGCUCUGCGCUGAACGCACGUCGCUUUGCCUCGCACCUCUCGCGGCUAACUUACGUCUCGCAUUCUAACCCCGCUAUUGCAUGUUGUUUUGUAUAACGUUAUCCAACUCGCGUCGAUUGAAGAUUCGUCAUUGCUAUUUCUGUACCUUCUGAUUGUUGUGGUGAACUUGGAAGAUUAUAGCUAUUGUGCUGCAUAAAA